rnacentral:rRNA from 1 species
GCACUUUAUUUGAUUUCUUCGGAAUGAAGAUUUUGUGACUGCCUGGCGGACGGGUGAGUAACGCGUGGGUAACCCGCCUCAUACAGGGGGAUAACAGUUGGAAACGACUGCUAAUACCGCAUAAGCGCACAGGGUCGCAUGACCUGGUGUGAAAAACUCCGGUGGUAUGAGAUGGACCCGCGUCUGAUUAGCCAGUUGGUGGGGUAACGGCCUACCAAAGCGGCGAUCAGUAGCCGACCUGAGAGGGUGACCGGCCACGUUGGGACUGAGACACGGCCCAAACUCCUACGGGAGGCAGCAGUGGGGAAUAUUGCACAAUGGGGGAAACCCUGAUGCAGCGACGCCGCGUGAGCGAAGAAGUAUUUCGGUAUGUAAAGCUCUAUCAGCAGGGAAGAAGAAAUGACGGUACCUGACUAAGAAGCACCGGCUAAAUACGUGCCAGCAGCCGCGGUAAUACGUAUGGUGCAAGCGUUAUCCGGAUUUACUGGGUGUAAAGGGAGCGCAGGCGGUACGGCAAGUCUGAUGUGAAAGCCCGGGGCUCAACCCCGGUACUGCAUUGGAAACUGUCGGACUAGAGUGUCGGAGGGGUAAGUGGAAUUCCUAGUGUAGCGGUGAAAUGCGUAGAUAUUAGGAGGAACACCAGUGGCGAAGGCGGCUUACUGGACGAUUACUGACGCUGGGGCUCGAAAGCGUGGGGAGCAAACAG